rnacentral:rRNA from 1 species
AGCAUAUCAUUAAGCGGAGGAAAAGAAACCAACUGGGAUUCCCUUAGUAGCGGCGAGCGAACAGGGAGAAGUCCAGCACCGAAUCCUGCGUCUUAAGGCGUUGGGACAUGUGGUGUUUAGGUGGUUCUAUACGACAGAUUAAGUUGAAUUUCAAGUCCGCUUGAUUGCGGCUCCUUUCCGGAGAGGGUGGCAGACCCGUUGAAGUUCGACGUCUGUCGUCGGGGAUCACCUUGGAGUCAGGUUGUUUGAGAAUGCAGCCUAAAGCAGGUGGUAAACUCCAUCUAAGACUAAAUACAAUCAUGAGUCCGAUAGCAAAGAAGUACCGUGAGGGAAAGUUGAAAAGAACUUUGAAGAGAGAGUUCAAUAGUGCGUGAAACCGCUUGGAGGCAAACGGGUGGAACCGAAAUAGACGUUGAAGAUUCAACUGUUACGUGUUAUGGCGACGGCUUGGCGUGUCGAUUGGCGUUGAGUUGGAGUUGUAGUGCGUGGCAGUGCACUUCUUUCUUCGUCUGCAUCACGACCAAUGAUUUGUGGACCAACAGCGUGGUCGAGACUUGUCUCGCUGUCAUUUCUGCGUUGUGGUUCCACGGGCUAUUGGAUAGGGCAGUGCGCGCCAACCUAUGGCUUGUUUACCGGUAGCUUCAGUGUCCAACCUGUAUUUCAAUGGUAACCAUUGUUCCUCAGUGUUGGUGCUGUUGUUGUUGAGUGAAUGAGUUGGUGCUAACAGUCAGUGGUGUUUUUGUAGGUUGUCCACCCGACCCGUCUUGAAACACGGACCAAGGAGUCUAACAUGUGCGCGAGUCAAAGGGUCUUCCGAAACCCCAAGGCGCAGUGAAAGUAAAGGACUGUUCAUUCAGUUCGAGGUAAGAUCCUGCCCUAACCGGCAGGCGCAUUACCGGCCCGUCCUAUGGUUGACUUGUCUUCCUGGGCGGAGCAAGAGCGUACAUGUUGGGACCCGAAAGAUGGUGAACUAUGCUUGCGUAGGUCGAAGCCAGAGGAAACUCUGGUGGAGGACCGUAGCGAUUCUGACGUGCAAAUCGAUCGUCAAACGUGAGUAUAGGGGCGAAAGACUAAUCGAACCAUCUAGUAGCUGGUUCCCUCCGA